CGAGCGCAACCCCUGCAUUCAGUUGCCAUCGGGUAAUGCCGGGCACUCGUGGAAGGACUGCCAUCGACAAGAUGGAGGAAGGUGGGGAUGACGUCAAGUCAUCAUGGCCCUUAUGUCCAGGGCGACACACGUGCUACAAUGGCCGGCGACAACGGGAAGCGAGUUCGCGAGGACGAGCGGAUCCCUCAAAGCCGGUACGCAGUUCGGAUUGAAGUCUGCAACUCGACUUCAUGAAGCUGGAAUCGCUAGUAAUCGUGGAUCAGCCAAGCCGCGGUGAAUACGUUCCCGGGCCUU
rnacentral:rRNA from 1 species